rnacentral:lncRNA from 1 species
UUUUUUUUUUUUUUUUUCUUUUCUGAAACAUGACUAAUACCACUGUUGUGAACAAACCAUAACAACCACAGAGUUGAAACCAAAACAAAUGCCGAAACCAAAACAAACCAACCAACAAAGCUGCUGCUUCUUUGGGGGAAUUAUAGUACCAGAACUGAGAGAGGAUGGUACCAGCUUGGGAUCCAGCUAAAUCCCCUGGAAACAGCUAGAGCAAUGGCAUCCGGGUAGCUGCUGUGGAUCUGUAUGCCAUCUAUCAGGGCCCCUGCUAAGAGGAGGGUCAGACCGAAGUUUUGGAUAUUUAGGGAACAAAACAGACGUCAUAUUGUCAAAUUAGUGUUUCUGCUCUGUAACAUGUAGGAGCAAGGGCCUCUUCCACAAAAAGCAAGAUACUGAGCACUUUCCUUUAAAAUAUCAAGCACAGGGUGUUCCUGCUGUGGCUCAGUGAGUUAAGAACCCCACUAGAAUCCAUGAGGAUGUGGAUUCGAUCCCUGGCCUCACUCAGUGUGGGGUUAAGGAUCUGGCGUUGCAGCAAGCUGCGGAGUAGUUUGCAGAUGCAGUUGGGAUCCCGUGUUUCUGUGGCUGUGGCAUAGGCCAGCUCUGUAGCUCUGAUGAGACCCCCUGGCCUGGGAACCUCCAUAUGCUGCAGGUGCAGCUGUAAAAAGAAAAAAAGGAAAAAGGAAAGAAAGAAAAAACCUGGCACAGGAAAAAAAAAAAAAAAGAACAACCAACUACUGGGAUAAUCUCUUCUUACAAAUAGUGCAAAACCUACCUAAUUCAUUUAAUUAUUACUCAACGUAUAUGUAUUCCUUUUCAGAUUUAGGGCAUAUCUCUGAAUAUUUCCAGCUCCUUUUUGACUUUGUGAACUGGUAAUGAACCUUCAAUUGAAGAUGAUCUAGUGCCAAUUAUCAUUACCACCCAGGAAAGCAUUUCUGCAUUUUAAAACACACAGCAGUCCAGCUGUAUAGCACUGGGAACUAUGUCUAGUCGCUUGUGAUGGAGCACAGUGGAGGAUAACAUGAGAAAAAGAAUAUACACACACACACACACACACACACACAUAUAUAUAUGAUUGGGUCACUUUACCAUACAGUAGAAAGUUGGCAGAACACUGUAAGCCAACUAUAGUGGAAAAAAUAAAAAUCAUUAAAAAAAUAAAAUAAAUAAAAAUCACUGCAGUGAGUUCCUGGAAAGUUCUUUUGCAAAAGAUUUUUAAAUGUGUGGCCAAGAAAAACCAGGGGCAGUGGGAUUGGAGGAUGUUUCCAACAGAAAAGCUUGUUGGUGGGAAGGUCAGGAAGGAGUUCAGGCUUUGAAACUAGAAUUGGAUAAAUAAGUCCUCAAAAAAUGAUAGCAGAGGACUCAGGUGAAGGAAAGGGUUUCCGUGAAUCAUUUGGUCAAAUAAAUAUUUAUUUCAUGCCUCUUUUCAGCCAAACAAGAAGUCUUGCCAUCAUGAAACCCACAUCCUUGUAGAAUUUACAGUCUAGUGAAACUUCUCUUCUAGUGAAUUUUGCAUCACUCUCUCUAAGACCUACGGGGUCACUGGAGAAACUAGUUCCAGAUGCUCAUUUUUAAAAAGUUAAACAAACUGCGACCAAGUUCACAAUAAAUGAACGCAUCAAGUGAUAUCAAAAGAAUAAAUCCCAGGUGAGUGGACAUAUUUCGGGAGAAAUAAAUCACAGAGAUUUAUAGAAAGAAAAUAACUAGAGCUGAAAUAAUGUGUUUAAUCAGUUUUCUUGAUCUUUGUUGGGAAUCGGUAACUUUUGAUCUUUAUGCCAUCUCAGUGUUUCUUGCCUGUUGUAUUAUUAUCAUCUUUUUUUUUUUUUCUGUGUAACAAAUUACUAUCAUCUUCACAGCUUAAAACACCAAAAAUGUAUACUCUUACCGUGUUGGUGGAUCAGGAAUCUGGUCUUACCAGUUUGAAAUCCAGUGGUUGGCAGGGCCUCGAUCUCCUGUGAAGUUCAGCAUCCUCUUCCAAGCUCACUGGUAGAAUUGUGGGUAGAAUUCACUGCCUUGUGGUUGCAGGACUGAGGUCCCCAGUUCUUUGCUGAGUGUUGGCUAGAGGUUGCUCUCAGCUCUAAAGAUGCUUCCCAUUCACAGCCCGUCUCACACCACGGCUGUCAAUGUGAGAAGGUCCCUGUUCCUAAGGGCUCCACUGCUUGGGUGAGGCCGGUCCCUCUGGUGAACUCAAAGUCAACUGACAUCCAACCUCCUUCCACUUUUGACCGGUAGUGUCACGUAAGGUGACCCAGUCACAAGAGUGACGUCCCAUCAUAGCCCCGGGUUCUCUGCUCAUUCAAGGGGAGGGGAUCACACCAGGUGUUUGCACGUGGGGAUUACCAGGGGGCCAUCUUCGAGGUCUACCUGCCACAUCCCCAGUCCAACACCUGCCCUUCUGCGGUACCUCUGGGGUCACGCUGCCUCUCUCCCACUUACCCAGUGAUAAGAGCUUCCUUACCUAGAGGAAGGUGACAGCAGUAUCAUUUAGUUUCUAAAGUAAAUGACUUUGGCAUCAGACAGUCAUCGAUCAGCUUGACUCAUAACUUUGCCUCUUGACCUCAGUGUCCUCCCUUGUAAAAUGGGCAGACUUCUUUUUUUUUAAUUUUUUUUUUUCUAAGGCCGCACCUGUGGUAUAUGGAAUCGUCCGGGCUAGGGGUUAAAUCAGAGCUGCUGUUGCUUGCCUACACCACAGCCAUGGCAACACCGGAUCAAGCCACAUCUGCAACCAACACUGCAGCUUGCAGCAACACUGGAUUCUUAACCCACCGAGCAAGGCCAGGGAUCAAACCUGCAUUCUCCUGGAGACUAUGUUGGGUUCUUAACCCGCUCAGCCAUAACAGGAGCUCCCAGAUUUCUUUUUAUGGGGUUGUUAGAAGGAUGAAAGGAGAAUGUACCAAAAGCAUUUAGCACAGGGCUUGACACACAGCUUCAUGUGGGGAAGAACUAUAACUUUCUUUUUCCCCCUUCAGUGCUCAGUGUCUGGAGCACAGCUGGUCUUCAGUACAUAUUUGUUAAAGGACAAAAUAAUAGACAUGAAAUAAUAGUUAUUAUUUCCUUAGCAGUCUUAUUUUAUUUUAUUCUAUUUUUUUGCUUUUCUAGGGCUGCACCUGUGGCAUAUGAAGGUUCUCAGGCUCGGGGUCUAAUUGGAGCUGCAGCUGCCGACCUACACCACAGCCACUGCAACGCUGGAUCUGAGCUGCCUCUGUGACCUACACCACAGCUCACGGCAAUGCCAGAUCCUUAACCCACUGAGUGAGGUCAGGGAUGGAACCCGCAACCUCAUGGUUCCUAGUUGGAUUCGAUAACCACUGGGCCAUGGCGGGAACUCCUUUCAGCAGUUUUAAAGACACCAAAAUAUCAUAUAUGCAGAGUUUCACAUGUAACAGCAAAGAGUAAUAGUAAGGCAAUAAUCCUUCCAUAUGCAUUUCUAACAAAAAUUUUUUUUUACUUCUUCUUAUCUCCUUUAGUAUAUGAAGCUGUGAGUCCCUCCUGUUAGUGCUGAUUACUAAAAGAAAAACCUGUAGAAAUGAAAAAAGGGAAGAAAUGAAGAGGCAGAGUCGGGGUGCUGGGUUUGGGGGGAAGUCUUGGGGAAGAUAAAGGAAGAGGAUGGAAGCAGUUCCUGGCUGCGGGCGUCUCUCCCUGAGCUCUGUCAAGGGAAAGAUGCUGAGCAAUGUGUAGAGGGAUAAAUGGCCCUUGUCUUGGUGUGAGAUUUUUGUGGGCAGCCAAGUUAUUGGAUAUCCCCAAGGUUUUCGUAGGACCCUAAAAUCUCCCCAGAGACAAGAUGCAUAAAACCAGGAAGACACUGAACACUUACUUGGAUGGAGGACCAGGCCAAAUUGCUCCAUAGUGACUUCCAAAAAGCUAAGUUACUUGCUAAGCAGCAAUUCAUGAAAAAUUCAGUAGAGUCGCUGGAAAGCGUCUAGGUAAGCAAAGGACAAAUGACAUGCAUACACCUACACACUGUAUUGUGAAGCAUCAUUGCUUUGGGAUUUACUUAGUGUUAGUAAAGUUCUUACUACAUUCCUGUACGGAGGUAGGGGGUCCCUAUGCUAACAAGCACUUCUCCCAGACUUUGAGUGUCCUGCAAUUCAACUCAAUUCUAACAAUAUUUAUCUGGAGAUGGCAUCCGAUUUCACAGGUUAAAGGCUCAGUCCCACAAGAAUUUCCAUACUCUAGGAGUUCCCAUUGUGGCUCAGAGGUAACAAACCCAACUAGUAUGCAUGAGGAUGUGAGUUCGAUCCCUAGCCUCGCUCAAUGUGUUAAGGAUCCAGCAUUGCCAUGAGCGGCGGUGCAAGUGGCAGAUGUGGCUCGGAUCCCACGUUGCUGUGGCUCUGGCGUAGGCCAGCAACGGCAGCUCCAAUUCAACUCCUUGCCUGGGAACUUCCAUGUGCCACAGGUACGGCAAAAAAAAAAAAGAAAAAGAAAAAAGGAAUUUCCCUACUCUAGUUUCCAAUUACAAGUCUAGAUUAUCACUGGUGCUUCUGACCGAAUGUCUAUAAAUCAGAGGUCUUCAAAACCCCCUCUUUGGGUUCAAUUAAUUUGCUAAAGUGACUCACAGAACUCAGAGAAGCGUUUUACUUACUCAAUCACCAGCUUGUUAUGCAAGGACAGAACUCAGGAACGGCCUGAUUGAAGAGCUGAGUGGGGCAAAGGCGUGGGGAAGAGGGCACAGAUCUUCCGUGUCCUUCCAGCCCAACACUUGCCCCAUAUCUCCAAGUGUUCACCAACCAGAAGCUCCCCUGAGUCCUCUCCUUUGGGGUUUCUAUAAAGGCCUUAUUACAUAAAUUGAUUAAACCACUGACUUUUCACCAUCAGUCGACUCCAGCCCCUCUCCUCUCCCAGGAGAUCGGGGGUGGGGGUGGGGGACGACAACUAAAAGCCCCUCUAAUCAUGUGAUUGGCUCCCCUUGGCAACCAGGCCCUACCACAGGCUACCUAGGUGCUCUCCAAAAGUCACCUCAUUAACAUAAAAAAAAUUUUGCCUUUAUCCCAUUGCUCUUGUCAAGGCUUUAGGAAAUUCUGAAGGUUUU